GACGAACGCUGGCGGCGUGCUUAACACAUGCAAGUCGAACGAGGAACCCGGAGCUUGCGCUGGGGGAGUAGGGGAGAACGGGUGAGGAACACGUGAGUAACCUGCCCUGGACUCUGGGAUAAGCGUUGGAAACGACGGCUAAUACCGGAUAGGACCUUGGGGCGCAUGAUCUGGGGUGGAAAGUUUAGGCGGUCUGGGAUGGACUCGCGGCCUAUCAGCUUGUUGGUGAGGUAAUUGCUGACGAAGGCGUCGAAGGGUAGGCGGCCUGAGAGGGUGAACGGCCACACUGGGACUGAGAGACGGCCCAGACUCCUCCGGGUGGCAGCAGUGGGGGCUAUUGCGCAUUUGGCGAAAGCCUGAUGCAGCAACGCCGCGUGCGGGAUGUCGGCCUUCGGGGUGUUAGGCUCGUUUAGUACGGAAGACGGGGUUCGGCUUGACGGUACCUGCAGAAGAAGGACCGGCUAACUCCGUG
rnacentral:rRNA from 1 species